CUUGGGAAUCUAGCUCAUGGAGGGGGAUAACUACGGGAAACUGUAGCUAAUACCGCGUAGAAUCGAGAGAUGAAAGUGUGGGACCUUCGGGCCACAUGCCAUAGGAUGAGCCCAAGUGGGAUUAGGUAGUUGGUGAGGUAAAGGCUCACCAAGCCGACGAUCUCUAGCUGGUCUGAGAGGAUGACCAGCCACACUGGGACUGAGACACGGCCCAG
rnacentral:rRNA from 1 species